CAAGGCUGUGAUAGCGGGUAUUUGUACUUCAACCUCCAUUAAAUUCAACAAAUUUCCAUAUCUUUUCUGAAAGGCUUCUCUUUUUAUGGUCUUGAGCUUUUUGCCCAAGUUUAUCAGUCCGGCCAAAUUUCCAACAUGGGUCCUUAGACUAUACUUCUUUUUUAAAUCGGAAGAGUCAGUGCGUCGUGUGACAUCGGAUCUUGUGUCAACAUCCAUCUUGUAUGAAAUCAAAUAGGUACCUGUGAUUUCCCCUAAAAAUCAACAUGUUACUAAAUGAUGUAUGAAAAUGAUGCAUGAUAAUAAAACAACAUGACGAAACAAAACACAUGUAUGGUAUGAAAUGCAAUAUCAUUAUUUUCAAAAACNAAAACGANCAGCGUGAGGAUUAUAGAAGUACACAUUUCUCCCAUCGUGUCCUAACAAAGGUUCACCGUUUUGAGUUCAAGGUCAUAUAUAUGCACUUUCACCAGGAUGGUUUCCUAAACCUAAAGGUCAAAAAGUCACUAGAGCUAUGGCCUCCUUCAUAGCAUCUCCACAACAGUCGAGUAAUCAACUAGGUGUGGAAACACACAUGAAGAGAACAGACUCUAGCUGGAGUUCUCACGAUAGCCAAACAGGAAGUACAUCCCAGAGUGACACCGCUACACAACUCCUCUAAUUCUAAGUUACGCUCAGACCCGGGUAUAGGGCCCCACUCAUGAUAUGCUGAAAGUGUGUGUGAAGGGAGAACAUCAUGCACAUCCAAACCCUCACCUGCAAAACAGCCAGAAAAAUUCCCAGGCAGAUAUAAACAUAUCAUCUAUCCUAGGGUUCAAUAUCCAACAAGCACAAUUAUUCACACGCGAUAAUUCAAAUAUCAAACAUAGAUAACGAAAAAAAAGGAAGAAAAAAACAUAAGCAACACCACAUUGAAAUUCGCGCAUUUAAUUAAAUGGCU
rnacentral:lncRNA from 1 species